rnacentral:pre_miRNA from 1 species
CUGUUCCCUAGAGUUCCCUUGACCACUUCACUGGCCCGGGGGUAAACUUAAGAACUCUCAAAUGAGGAGUGGAUUUUAUGCCACUGAAGUGUUUGGGGGAACUCCGGGGUUCAU